rnacentral:rRNA from 1 species
UACGGGGGGGGGCAAGCGUUGUUCGGAAUUACUGGGCGUAAAGGGCUCGUAGGCGGCCAACUAAGUCAGACGUGAAAUCCCCAGGCUCAACCUGGGAACUGCGUCUGAUACUGGUUGGCUUGAAUCCGGGAGAGGGAUGCAGAAUUCCAGGUGUAGCGGUGAAAUGCGUAGAUAUCUGGAGGAACACCGACGGCGAAGGCAGCUUACUGGGCCGAUACUGACGCUGAGGAGCGAAAGCGUGGGGAGCGAACAGG